UACGGGGGGUGCAAGCGUUGUUCGGAUUUACUGGGCGUAAAGGGCGCGUAGGCGGCCAGCACAAGUCAGUUGUGAAAUCUCCGAGCUUAACUCGGAACGGUCAACUGAUACUGUGCGGCUAGAGUGCGGAAGGGGCAACUGGAAUUCUCGGUGUAGCGGUGAAAUGCGUAGAUAUCGAGAGGAACACCUGCGGCGAAGGCGGGUUGCUGGGCUGAUACUGACGCUGAGGCGCGAAAGCCAGGGGAGCGAACGGG
rnacentral:rRNA from 1 species